CUAGUCUCGUUCCGCCAUGGUCUCCAGGCGGCUCUGCGGCCGCGCUGGGGCUAAGAGGGAAGCCGGUGCGAGUCCGGCGCUGCCCCCGCAACUGUCAGCGGCGAGCCGACCGCCCCCAUGUGUCACUGGGACCGACCGGUCCUGGGAAGACCGGCGGAAGGCGAUGACCCGCGAGCCAGGAGACCUGCCAUGGCAGAUAACGUCCA
rnacentral:ncRNA from 2 species